rfam:Anaerolineae bacterium SM23_84 WORSMTZ_10209, whole genome shotgun sequence.
UCGUGCUAGACGGGGAGCUAGCGGUGCCCUGUACCCGCAAGCCGCUAUAGCGGGGUCGAAUUCCCCCUCGAGGUGCCGCACAUUGGGACUGCUUCGACCAAGUGGCGUUGAAGAUUGGGUCCUACGCGGCAGAGGCCUGUGAACCCCGCCAGGUCCGGGAGGAAGCAACGGUAAGCAGUUUCCUCUGGGUGCCGUAGGGUUGCCUGAUUGGAGCAGGCUAGUCGCGGUAAGCCGGUGUGUUGACAUCGACAGGGGGUGCACGA